GGUUGAUUUAUUGUUCAUACUGUGUAGCCGGUAAAAUAUUUGAAAAUCACUGUUUUAUGUCCACCUUUUUCCUUAUCAAACCAUAUGUUCUAAAACACGUUAUAGGCACAAGUUUAAAAAGCUGUAAACAUGUAGGGUUACAUUACCAAUAAAAACUUUUAAAAAUUUCAUAAACAUUUAAAAGGGACAUUUUUGCUUGGCAUUAUUUUAUUUUUCUAUUUUAAAUACAUAAAUGGCAAAAAAUAUCUAAAUUUGACGUUAAAUUUGAGUAGGCUACUAGUGUAAACUAUACAGAGGUUCUAAUCAUUUCAUCAUCAAACUUAAGGACUUGUUGAUGAAAUAAUUUUGGGAGAAACAGCAGCAGUAGUAAUUGCAGUUUGAACUGAGCACAUGGUUUUAGUAUAAUUUAAUCCCCUGUUUCUCAGCUUAGAUGUGGGAUUCUAAAGAACCAGGAGUUUAUCAGGAACCACCAGCCUCUAUUGGAACAUACACCAGGGACCAUUCCAGGAGGAGGAGUUGAUUCAUUAAGGGCUUUUGGACUUGAUUUCAAGCGUUCAAGAUUUGUGCUGCGUUUCAUCACAUAUGUGAACUUGUGAAACCAGUUUUAUUCUGAGCUGGACAGACUGACACCCAGACUGGUGAUCUUGUUGAGACAGAAAGCGGGUCGAACUGGCCAGACUGCAGAGGCUCUGGGCGGCAUGCUGAAUCUAUAUGAUAAACAGCAAGAACAGGACUCUGAUAUCAGACGUACUCUGGUCCUGCACGGUCUUCCAAUAUACCUACGGGAGGAGUAGCCACAAUUCUUCAAAGUUUGGCAUAUGGAAGAAUCACCAGAGCCAGAGAUCAUCAUCACCUCUGUUGGUAUUCUGACCAUUGUCAACACUACGAGCCCAAAGCACUUCAGUCCGGUCAGUGCAGCAGUUGUAGUGGAAGAUGAGCUUGUGCCCUACAGACAAUCCACUGGUCUACACAGAGCAGCAUGGAGACGACUGUGGACAGAACAGAUGUAACAGUAGUUGUUGUACAUGU